CAUCUCCAACGCUUGUCUUCCAAGGUUAGGCUUCCUUUCUACUUUAAAUGCUCCGGCACUUCUUCAUCCAUGCAGGACACCACCACUCCCUUCCAAACGAGGGACCCCGAAGACCUCGCUCUGCAAAGCACUUCUUCAAUUUGAUGAAAGAGACUAUUGGAAAACUUUUCAUAGGUUGGUCCAAACCAGAAUGGAUCAUCUUUGGACUGACUUGAGGCUAUAUUGGUUGUUACCUAUCCAUGAAAUCCAAUCCUUGCAGCAAGACAGGUGAUCUAUUCACAGACUUAACAUAUGUACUGUAACACUUUCUUGUUACUCAUGGAAACCAAGAAUAAUGCCUGGGGAGAAACAAGGACACGGGCUUUAAAUAAAAUGUCACAUGUGUAUUUUCCAGUAAAAGUUGUCUAACAAGAAAGAGAAUCUUCAUAAUCCCUUCAGUGGAGCUGCUCAAGCAGUUAUUACUAUUCUCUGCAAGCUAAGGUUAACAGAGGUCUUUUCCAGUGCUGGAAUUUAAGAUUCAUUAUUUUAUUCCCUCAAGAUGAAAAUUCAGUUAAAAGAAAACAUUAUAAAAUGCCAGAAUCAGUUUCAAAUUAAUUAGGUGUUCCACCCUCACUCUGCAGGGAAGCCUUUUUGCCAACACGCAAAGGGAAGGAAUUGUAAGAAGAAAGAAAGGAAGUGCUUUCAAAAGAAACCAAAGUUUCAAGAUACACAAAAAGGACAGAUUUAAGUUGCUUCAUUUCUAUGAAAAGCAUGUUAGACCUUCCCUGCCACACCCUGUAUUACCUUUUAAAAACUCUACUGUGGGGAGAAGAUAAUUUUGUUUCUGCUCUUCUUGUUUCAUUUUUUUUAACCACAAUAACAAAAAGGCAACUUUCUUCCAGAGUGAGCAGACUUGCUAAAGUAAUUCCGAUUAAAUGUCAGUGAUUUGGUCUGAGUCAAAUACAAUGAGGUGUUUGUUAUUUUACAUGUCUGAUGUAGCUUCAAAACUUGGUGAUAAGGAGGAGUCCUGAAGACAAUUGGGCAAGGUGGUGACAACUCUCUUUUCAGGAACAUCUGAAGCAGGGCUGUCAAACUGCCGGUCUGCGGGCCGGAUGCAUCAUGCCAAAACCGUGCCCACCCCAUUGCCAGCAAUGGAAAAAAAAUCACAAUAUGUUGCAACAUGUCACGUGACAUUGCGAGUUUGAUACCCCUGAUCUGAAGGCUUCAGGGAAAGUCUUCCACUUCAUAUAUCUUCAGAGUCAUAUAUUCCCUUUAAUAUUAUGCCCUUGGCUGAAGAGUCAUCCUCAAACUAGGAGGAGGAUUGAGAUGGAGCAAUCAGAGAAUCAGACACAGCUCCACCCUACCAAAAGUAGUGUGAUGGUAUCGGGACCCGAUAUCAUUUGGCUAUAGUGAUUCAGACCCUACCCUGGAGGCUCUUCUUCUAGCACAUGUGAAGACAGAGCCACAGAAAUGCUAAGCUGCAGAAACACAUAGCGUAAGCUACCCAAGAACUUCCUGGUUGAUCACUGCUAACUAUUUUCAG